GACGAACGCUGGCGGCGUGCCUAAUACAUGCAAGUUGAGCGAUGAAGAUUGGUGCUUGCACCAAUUUGAAGAGCAGCGAACGGGUGAGUAACGCGUGGGGAAUCUGCCUUUGAGCGGGGGACAACAUUUGGAAACGAAUGCUAAUACCGCAUAACAACUUUAAACAUAAGUUUUAAGUUUGAAAGAUGCAAUUGCAUCACUCAAAGAUGAUCCCGCGUUGUAUUAGCUAGUUGGUGAGGUAAAGGCUCACCAAGGCGAUGAUACAUAGCCGACCUGAGGGGGUGAUCGGCCACAUAGGGACUGAGACACGGCCCAAACUCCUACGGGAGGCAGCAGUAGGGAAUCUUCGGCAAUGGACGAAAGUCUGACCGAGCAACGCCGCGUGAGUGAAGAAGGUUUUCGGAUCGUAAAACUCUGUUGGUAGAGAAGAACGUUGGUGAGAGUGGAAAGCUCAUCAAGUGACGGUAACUACCCAGAAAGGGACGGCUAACUACGU
rnacentral:rRNA from 1 species